rnacentral:snoRNA from 1 species
UAAAUGAUGAAAAAUUAUGCUAAUGAACCCUUUGUGAUUUAUUAACCCUCUAAGAAGUUCUGAUAAU